rnacentral:rRNA from 1 species
CCUACGGGUCGCACCAGUGGGGAAUAUUGCACAAUGGGCGCAAGCCUGAUGCAGCCAUGCCGCGUGUGUGAAGAAGGCCUUCGGGUUGUAAAGCACUUUCAGCGGGGAGGAAGGCGAUAAGGUUAAUAACCUUGUCGAUUGACGUUAUCCGCAGAAGAAGCACCGGCUAACUCCGUGCCAGCAGCCGCGGUAAUACGGAGGGUGCAAGCGUUAAUCGGAAUUACUGGGCGUAAAGCGCACGCAGGCGGUCUGUCAAGUCGGAUGUGAAAUCCCCGGGCUCAACCUGGGAACUGCAUUCGAAACUGGCAGGCUAGAGUCUUGUAGAGGGGGGUAGAAUUCCAGGUGUAGCGGUGAAAUGCGUAGAGAUCUGGAGGAAUAUCGGUGGCGAAGGCGGCCCCCUGGACAAAGACUGACGCUCAGGUGCGAAAGCGUGGGGAGCAAACAGGAUUAGAUACCCUUGUA